rnacentral:rRNA from 1 species
UACGUAGGGUGCAAGCGUUGUCCGGAAUUAUUGGGCGUAAAGAGCUCGUAGGCGGUUUGUCGCGUCUGCUGUGAAAACUCGAGGCUCAACCUCGGGCUUGCAGUGGGUACGGGCAGACUAGAGUGCGGUAGGGGUGACUGGAAUUCCUGGUGUAGCGGUGGAAUGCGCAGAUAUCAGGAGGAGCACCGAUGGCGAAGGCAGGUCACUGGGCCGCAACUGACGCUGAGGAGCGAAAGCAUGGGGAGCGAACAGG